ACGGGAGGCAGCAGCCAGGAAUAUUGGACAAUGGGGGAAACCCUGAUCCAGCCAUGCCGCGUGAGUGAAGAAGGCCUUCGGGUUGUAAAGCUCUUUUGUACGGGAAGAUGAUGACGGUACCGUAAGAAUAAGCACCGGCUAACUUCGUGCCAGCAGCCGCGGUAAUACGAAGGGUGCAAGCGUUGUUCGGAAUUACUGGGCGUAAAGGGCGUGUAGGUGGAUAUAUUAGUCAGGAGUGAAAUCCCAGGGCUUAACCUUGGAACUGCUUUUGAUACGGUAUAUCUAGAGUGCGAGAGGGGACAAUGGAAUAUCCAGUGUAGAGGUUAAAUUCGUAGAUAUUGGAUAGAACACCGGUAGCGAAGGCGAUUGUCUGGCUCGUAACUGACGCUGAGGCGCGAAAGCGUGGGGAGCAAACAGGAUUAGAUACCCUGGUA
rnacentral:rRNA from 1 species